GAUGAACGCUGGCGGCGUGCCUAAUACAUGCAAGUCGAGCGAACAGACGAGGAGCUUGCUCCCCUGACGUUAGCGGCGGACGGGUGAGUAACACGUGGAUAACCUACCUAUAAGACUGGGAUAACUUCGGGAAACCGGAGCUAAUACCGGAUAAUAUAUUGAACCGCAUGGUUCAAUAGUGAAAGACGGUUUUGCUGUCACUUAUAGAUGGAUCCGCGCCGCAUUAGCUAGUUGGUAAGGUAACGGCUUACCAAGGCGACGAUGCGUAUCCGACCUGAGAGGGUGAUCGGCCACACUGGAACUGAGACACGGUCCAGACUCCUACGGGAGGCAGCAGUAGGGAAUCUUCCGCAAUGGGCGAAAGCCUGACGGAGCAACGCCGCGUGAGUGAUGAAGGUCUUCGGAUCGUAAAACUCUGUUAUUAGGGAAGAACAAAUGUGUAAGUAACUAUGCACGUCUUGACGGUACCUAAUCAGAAAGCCACGGCUAACUACGUG
rnacentral:rRNA from 1 species